CAGUCGCCACGGUAAUACGUAGGUGGCAAGCGUUGUCCGGAAUUAUUGGGCGUAAAGGGCUCGCAGGCGGUUGCUUAAGUCUGACGUGAAAGCCCCCGACUCAACCGGGGAGGGUCAUUGGAAACUGGGAAACUUGAGUGCAGAAGAGGAGAGUGGAAUUCCACGUGUAGCGGUGAAAUGCGUAGAGAUGUGGAGGAACACCAGUGGCGAAGGCGACUCUCUGGUCUGUAACUGACGCUGAGGAGCGAAAGCGUGGGUAGCGAACAGGAUUAGAUACCCCCGUAGUCCCUGUCUCUUAUAC
rnacentral:rRNA from 1 species